AUAUAAACAUAAGAAACAGAAUGGAAUGGAAACGAAACAGAGAAUAACAGGGGAGAAAGAAAGGAAAGAAAGAAAGAAAGGGAGAAAAGGGAAAAUUGAUGUUUUGAAGCUUUAAACUUUAAUUGUCAAUGUGGUACCAGAAAUCUCGGCUAAGAAAGGACAAGACAAAGUCAACGGGGGUUAGCUCGAAAAUUACGGUUUGUAUUUCUAUAAUCCGAACCUAAUACUUAAUUGUUGAAUUUAUUUCUUAAUAUGUAUAUUAAGUGUUUUGAAGUAAGAAUUAUUGUGUUUUGCAAAUGAAAUGGAUUGAUAUAGUAUGUGAUGAAUUUAUUGAAUUUAUAUUGAUUGAAUUGGCGUAUAUAUAUAGAUAUAUAUAUUGAAUAUUGAAUAUAUAUUGAUUAUUUGAAUUGAAUUGAAAUAUAAAUUGUUUGAAAAUUUUAAAUAUGAGAUUUGUGAUAUUUGGAUAUUUGUUAUUGAAAAGUGAAUUGAAUUGUAUUGAAUUAUGAAUUUAUGUGAUUAAUUAAAAUGUGUAUUGAUUGAAAAAAAUUGAAAGUGAAUUGAAUACCCUAUUAACAGUAUCGGGCUGAGUCGGAUAUAGUUGGCAUGCCAUAGGAUUGGAAGUGUUCAGGGAUUCUUCGACCUCGAGUCGAUGAGACACUGGGUGUCACUAUAUUUCUUCGGAUAGAUUCGAUGAGGUACUGGGUACCAACUUUACUUCGGCUAGGCCGAUGAGACACUGGGUGUCAAAUAUUGCUUCGAACUAUCCGAUGAGGCACUGGGUGCCAUAUUGGUGUGUUUGGUUGGAUCCGUGUAUCCGCCAAGGUCCGAGUCUUGUUAAUAGGGGUAAA